rnacentral:rRNA from 1 species
UACGUAGGGGGGCUAGCGUUGUCCGGAAUCAUUGGGCGUAAAGAGCGUGUAGGCGGCCCGGUAAGUCCGCUGUGAAAGUCGGGGGGCUCAACCCUCGAAUGCCGGUGGAUACUGUCGGGCUAGAGUGCGGAAGAGGCGAGUGGAAUUCCUGGGUGUAGCGGUGAAAUGCGCAGAUAUCAGGAGGAACACCAAUUGCGAAGGCAGCUCGCUGGGACGUAACUGACGCUGAGACGCGAAAGCGUGGGGAGCAAACAGG